UACGUAGGGGGCAAGCGUUGUCCGGAUUCAUUGGGCGUAAAGAGCGUGUAGGCGGCCAGGUAGGUCGGUUGUGAAAACUGGAGGCUCAACCUUCAGACGUCGACCGAAACCAUCUGGCUAGAGUCCGGGAGAGGAGAGUGGAAUUCCUGGUGUAGCGGUGAAAUGCGCAGAUAUCAGGAAGAACACCCGUGGCGAAAGCGGCUCUCUGGAACGGUACUGACGCUGAGACGCGAAAGCGUGGGGAGCGGACAGG
rnacentral:rRNA from 1 species